rnacentral:rRNA from 1 species
GAUGAACGCUGGCGGCGUGCCUAAUACAUGCAAGUCGAGCGAACGGACGAGAAGCUUGCUUCUCUGAUGUUAGCGGCGGACGGGUGAGUAACACGUGGAUAACCUACCUAUAAGACUGGGAUAACUUCGGGAAACCGGAGCUAAUACCGGAUAAUAUUUUGAACCGCAUGGUUCAAAAGUAAAAGACGGUCUUGCUGUCACUUAUAGAUGGAUCCGCGCUGCAUUAGCUAGUUGGUAAGGUAACGGCUUACCAAGGCAACGAUGCAUAGCCGACCUGAGAGGGUGAUCGGCCACACUGGAACUGAGACACGGUCCAGACUCCUACGGGAGGCAGCAGUAGGGAAUCUUCCGNCAUGGGCGAAAGCCUGACGGGAGCACGCCGCGUGAGUGAUGAAGGUCUUCGGAUCGUAAAACUCUGGUAUUUAGGAAGAACAUAUGUGUAAGUAACUGUGCACAUCUUGACGGUACCCUAUCAGAAAGCACGGCUAACUACGUGCCAGCAGCCGCGGUAUACGUAGGUGGCAGCGUUAUCGGGAUUAUUGGCCUAAAGCGCGUAGCGGUUUUUUAGUCUGAUGUGAAAGCCCACGGCUCAACCGUGGAGGGUCAUUGGAAACUGGAAAACUUGAGUGCAGAAGAGGAAAGUGGAAUUCCAUGUGUAGCGGUGAAAUGCGCAGAGAUAUGGAGGAACACCAGUGGCGAAGGCGACUUUCUGGUCUGUAACUGACGCUGAUGUGCGAAAGCGUGGGGAUCAAACAGGAUUAGAUACCCCGGUAGUCCACGCCGUAAACGAUGAGUGCUAAGUGUUAGGGGGUUUCCGCCCCUUAGUGCUGCAGCUAACGCAUUAAGCACUCCGCCUGGGGAGUACGACCGCAAGGUUGAAACUCAAAGGAAUUGACGGGGACCCGCACAAGCGGUGGAGCAUGUGGUUUAAUUCGAAGCAACGCGAAGAACCUUACCAAAUCUUGACAUCCUUUGACAACUCUAGAGAUAGAGCCUUCCCCUUCGGGGGACAAAGUGACAGGUGGUGCAUGGUUGUCGUCAGCCCGUGUCGUGAGAUGUUGGGUUAAGUCCCGCAACGAGCGCAACCCUUAAGCUUAGUUGCCAUCAUUAAGUUGGGCACUCUAAGUUGACUGCCGGUGACAAACCGGAGGAAGGUGGGGAUGACGUCAAAUCAUCAUGCCCCUUAUGAUUUGGGCUACACACGUGCUACAAUGGACAAUACAAAGGGCAGCGAAACCGCGAGGUCAAGCAAAUCCCAUAAAGUUGUUCUCAGUUCGGAUUGUAGUCUGCAACUCGACUACAUGAAGCUGGAAUCGCUAGUAAUCGUAGAUCAGCAUGCUACGGUGAAUACGUUCCCGGGUCU